rnacentral:rRNA from 1 species
AUUGAACGCUGGCGGCAGGCCUAACACAUGCAAGUCGAACGAGUGGCGGACGGGUGAGUAAUGUCUGGGAAACUGCCUGAUGGAGGGGGAUAACUACUGGAAACGGUAGCUAAUACCGCAUACCAUCAGAUGUGCCCAGAUGGGCUUAGCUAGUUGGUGGGGCAACGGCUCACCAAGGCGACGAUCCCUAGCUGGUCUGAGAGGAUGACCAACCACACGCGAACUGAGACACGGUCCAGACUCCUACGAGAGGCAGCAGUGGGGAAUAGUGAACAAUGGGCGCAAGACUGAUGCAGCCAUGCCGCGUGUAUGAAGAAGGCCUUCGGGUUGUAAAGUACUAUAAGCGGGGAGGCAUUACCCGCAGAAGAAGCACCGGCUAACUCCGUGCCAGCAGCCGCGGUAAUUC